GACGAACCGAGCGAACGUUGUUCGGAAUCACUGGGCUUAAAGGCGCGUAGGCGGCUUGACAAGUCAAAGGUGAAAUCCCUCGGCUCAACUGAGGAACUGCCUUUGAAACUGUCUGGCUUGAGGCCGGGAGGGGUAGCGGAAUUCCCAGUGUAGCGGUGAAAUGCGUAGAUAUCAAGUGGAACACCAGUGGCGAAGGCGAGUCUCUGGACAUUUCCUGACGCUGAGGCACGAAAGCCAGGGGAGCAAACGGG
rnacentral:rRNA from 1 species